UUUCUCUCUCUCCUUUCUUAUAUACGUGUGAACAGUUGAGGGGAAUGUUGUCUGGUUCGAGAUAAUUCGAAGAAAGAUAUCUAUCAGAAAAUAGAUACAUGUCCUUUGAAUGAUUUCGGACCAGGCUUCAUUCCCCCCAACUCGGUUUAAUUGCUUCCCAUUAACCAUCACUUAUCGAUGCAUUAUCACCUACAAGUAGUCUUUGGGCACUAAAGAAAAACGACAUGCAGAUAAUGCAAAAAUGGAAAAGCAAGAAGUGGAACCACCGGAUUCAAGAGUCCAAAUUAAGAAAGAAACGAGUGAAUCAGGAUUCAUCGUAACAUCUUCUUUGUCCAAGCUCAUUGCCAAACGGUAUCUACCAGGUGGAACAUAUAUUAAAUCUAUGUGGGCCAACACUACAUGAAAAAAUGAGUAUAAAUCUAACUUGUGAGUCAGAUUUACGUAUGAAGCUCAUAGUUUCAGGUGGGUCAUAACUGCCAGAGGUAAUUGUCACAUGUUUGGCUCCAUUGGCUGCCGCUUGAUUUUUAACCUUUAGAUAAGGAUUACAAAAAAUAUUCUUACGUUAUAUAUAUGAACCUAAUAAUAAUUAAAUCAUUGUCAAAUUUGUGUUACGUUACAGGUAGUGAUCAAUAUGUUGCCAUAUAUUAAUUGCUAUUUGUUGAGAAGAAGUUGUUGUUUUAGUCAAUUGGGAAGAAACCAAGAGAGCUGUGAUUGAGAAGACGUUGGCCUGCUGGUGCAUUUGAAAUAGUUGCUGUGCUAGUCAGUCUUGUUUGCCGUUAGUCCACUAACGUUUGUUGGGAAGUCUUGUAUAAUAGCUGUUGUUAUCUUUAACCAGAAAAUGUUAAGCUUGCUCGUAUUAUAUCCUUGAGUGUACUUUUAGUUUUCCAUAAGAUUUUUCGCUUGAAA